rnacentral:lncRNA from 1 species
GAUUUUCUGUAGUUGGUGUCCAGCAAAAAUAGAACGAGCUAUAAGGAUGCAUCCUAGUACUUGGCAUUGAUAAGGUUGGUUAGAAUCUAAACACAGUGUAACAGGGUGAACCUGCAAUGUAUCUCUAGGCUCUCUUUGGGGUCUUGUUUCUAUGUGUUUGCUUUGAAUCACUGGUCCUAGGGGCUUCACGUAUGUCACUGCAUUUUACAAAGCACACGAUAUUUCAUUGGAGGCAGGUAGAUUGAGUGUUCAUAUGAUGCAGUUAUGUUGAUGAGCGUACCACAUUUGUUUUUUGUUUUCUGCCAUUGCUCUCGGUGCUGUUAUGGCCUUCCUCUCCACAGCUCUUGUCAUCCUGCACAUGAUGGAAUAAAUGUGAAGGCAUGAGGCAUAUGCAAGAUAAACUGAAAGAAGAGCCAUAUGGAUCACUGUGGAUAUAUUGCUGAUGACACAUGCAGAUGUGAGGGAAAUUGUUGAACACCUGAUUCCCAAGUGAAGUGUCCCCGAACAAAUGUUUAGGAACAUUGUUAUGGGCCAAAGUUGAGGAUCCAGUUGUUGUAGCAGGACUGCUGAAAUAACCAAAAAAAAACUUGUUAGCAGUAUAAAGUAGCAGAAAAAGGUGGAGCUGGUGAGACGUGGAAGACUCUUUUGAUGUGGUGUGGGCUAGGACAGGGGGGAGAAAAAAUAAAACUUUUUUAAAAAAGAGAGUUAUUAAUAAAAUGUAUAUGGAUUUAUUUACAUGGCCACCAUCUGUUUCGUAGGUGUUUCCUCAGGGUUGGAUCCAGGUGGAGGUUUUUUUGAAGAACCGAUCCAGGUGGAGGUGUCUAACAAUAGAAAGAGACAACAAUGAGUUUUAGUGAUGACUUAAUUUAUGUGAGUCACUGAUGUGUAAUCGUGAUUGUAAGCCAAAAAAACUCUGGAUAAUAGAAACACAAAUGGAUGCAACAGUGUUGAUGAUGUUAGUAGUUUGUAAGUAUGGCAGCUCGUGCUCGCCCUGAGUUGCUCCUGGUGGUGAUGUACCGGAAGGUAUCUGCAAUUUGAGUUCACACAAUUUUUUUAGACAUGUGUGAUAACAAUUAAAGAUAUGUUUGCUGCUAUAUUUAUAUUUGGCUAGCUGAAGGCAUUACAAUAACAUAAGAAAUGUAACACACCAAGGUAUAGGUAAUCUUCCCCAAAUCAAGAUUAAGGUAUCUUUGCUGGUAGUUUUAUAUUGUUUCAGUCUAACUUAUAAAUAAAUUCUAAAAAUAUGCUACUUUACCUUGUUCUAGGAAAUUCAGAAAGAGGGGAAGAGGGACGAGAGAAGGGAGAGCAACAUAAAGAUGCAUUCAUGAAACAUGAUCUCUAGGCCUAGGCUAUUCACUGAGAUUGCCUAAAUGGCCACUAUACAUAAUUAAAAGAUGUUAACACAUACAUGUGCUAGCAGCACUAUGGAAACAUUAACUCAGGUGUUGUCCUCCAAAAGUCAUGUCCUUAGUGACCAUGCAUUUCAAUUUAAUUGGAGCAAAACAUACAGGUCAUAAAAAGGACUAAUUAUUUUUGAGCUCCCACCAAGGAUCAAUCACUGGCAGGGCAAAAAUAUUAAUGAUAGAUCAUAGGGAUGGUUGCUUUCAGGCUAUUAGCUAUAGAGAGACAAUAAAAAGAAGAAAAGAGGAAUGUUAUUUUGCAGUAACUGCUGCAUUGGGUACAUAAGUCUUAUUCUUUUUUUCUUUAUAGAACAAUCAGGGUAAAUUAAAUCUAAAACAAAUUAUGGAUAGGUAACAAUUGUUCAUUUAACUGGGACCAUAUAAAGGACUUAUUAGCCAUUGCAUCAUUUUACUGGAAGUUACAUACGUCAUAAAGGACUUAUCGAGCACUACAUCAAAAAACCUAGCUAGUUCAUGAUAUCACCCAAAGGCUGACCAACCAAGGCAGUGCUAAUUGAGAAUGGAAAAUUGAAGAGUGUUAGCUCUGUAUAGUAGGAUUUCAAAAAUUUCUAAGUGCAAAUAUGCAAGCAUAGGAGUAAAAAACAGA